rnacentral:rRNA from 1 species
UACGUAGGGUGCGAGCGUUAAUCGGAAUUACUGGGCGUAAAGCGUGCGCAGGCGGUUUUGUAAGCCAGAUGUGAAAGCCCCGGGCCCAACCUGGGAAUGGCAUUUGGGACUGCAAGGCUUGAGUGCGGCAGAGGAGACUGGAAUUCCUGGUGUAGCAGUGAAAUGCGUAGAUAUCAGGAGGAAUACCGAUGGCGAAGGCAGGUCUUUGGGCUGACACUGACGCUCAUGCACGAAAGCGUGGGGAGCAAACAGG